rnacentral:lncRNA from 1 species
UAUAUAAUUUAUAAUAAUUAAUUGGUUUUUAAUUUAUUUUACUAAUUUUCAUCUAAGAUUAUAUGCAAACACAAAGUUGCAAUAGAUAUGUGUCAUAACAAUUGUUUUUUGUAAAAAAAAUCUUUUCUUUAACUAUUAGGCAUUCAAUUUAACAAAUAAAUACAUAAAUUUUGUAUUUUUUGUACACUUGAUUUUAUAGGUGAAUUAAAAUGAGAAAAUAAUAUAAAAAAGAACUAACAAACUAACAAGCAAAAAAAUAUAUUUUGGUGAAAAAUCUCACAUAUCAAAGAAAAUACCUCCUCCUUUGAAGAGCAGAAAAACAACACUCUUUUAAAUAGUUAUACAAGAGCUAAUGUCUUAGAAUUUAAAACUUAACAGAUGGA